AACGAAUAUAGGUAUUUAUUUACGUAUGUUUUUAUUUUUAUUUGGAAAUGCAAUUUAUGUGGAAAAUUGUUAAGUUGAUUUCAACCAGUCAACGCCACUCUGAUUUGCUGAGACCGCACGUCAUCAUAAACUCCACUCUGAUAUGCCGAGGCAAAACACGCUAAACAUUUUUUGGCUGCUGCAGUAGCUCAGCUCAGCUCAUUCAGUUCAGCUCGCUCAGCUCAGCUCCGCUCCGGACCGGACUCAGCUGCCAAGCUAUAAGAUGGAGUCAUGAAAUGUGACGGGACAGCCACCGAGGACUUCAUACUUCGGAGCAUCUCAAACAUGCACCACAAAGACGUGGAGGACACACCGCUGUCUCUCAGGACCUAGAAUCUUAAUGAAAGUAUAAUGAUGUUAAGGGAAGGUGUAGUGGAAAGGUGUGAUAGUGUUGAGGGAAGGUGUAAUGUUAAAGGUGUGAUAGUGUUGAGGGAAGGUGUAAUAGUGUUGAGGGAAGGGGUAAUGUUAAAGGUGUAAUAGUGUUGAGGGAAGGUGUAAUGUUAAAGGUGUAAUAGUGUUAAGGGAAGGUAUAAUAUUGUUAAGGGAAGGUGUAAUGCAGGGGUCUCAAACUCAUUUUUGCCGAGGGCCACAUUGACAUAUUGGCUGUCCUCUGAGGGCCAGAUGUAACUUACAAAUAUAAGAAAAUGUAACCAGAUGUAAUAUAAAAUGAAUGUAAUUACUCCUUAAUGUUAAAUAACUCUCAAUAUACUAUUUAUUCAAUCAAAUAUUACAGUUGCAUGGAAAAAUGUUUGCUUGUUGCUCUAUUAACAUAAAUCCUUUUAAUUUGUCAUGUUAUGAAAUCCAAAAACUCCAUCAAUCAAGAACCAAACUAUUCAAGUGAAUAGAAAUUACAUCAAGUACAAGUUAUAUUAACUUUGAUCAAAACGUUUGAUACUGAAAUAAGGCUUAAUAAAUAUAAAAUCAAAAAUUGUGAGCUGUGACAGAUUUAGCAUUUCCUCAGAUUUAGCAGUUCCUCAUCCAACCACUAGUCGGAGCUGCAGCUGCAGCACCACAAGCCCGCAGUCUUUGCUUAGUCAGAGCUACAGCCCAGCCACGGGCUACAGGACUCAGCUGAGCCUGUCUGGAGCGUUUUGAAAUUUUUUAAGUUCUUCUGUGUAUGAAAUAAAAUAACCCCACUAACCGGAUAAUACAGCUCUCUACAGUUCAUCUUUCAGCCCAAGCAGCUAACAGCAGCAGUUUAGAGCAGCCGUCACGGAGGCACUGCUCGGAUUACAUUAUAAACAGGUCAGUUAGCGCGCUGCUAACCUCAGGAUGUUUAUAACUACGGAGUUUAGUGGACACACCACGGCUGCAAGGUUAGACUGUAGAAGGCUACUGAAGACUAAAGCAGGCAACGCAGCGUAAGCAAAAAAACAAAAACCACACACACACACACCAAAAUACAAGUUAAGAUAAAAUAUGAAAACGAACAUAAUAAAGCAUAAAUAAUUAAAUUGAAUUGCGGGCCAGAUGUAUGUUUAUUUUGUUAACCCGUGAGGGGCCGUAUGAAACCGCGUGGGCCGGUACUUUGAGACCCCUGGUGUAAUGUAAAGGUGUAAUAGUGUUGAGGG